UAUAAAAAAAAAAUCUAUUUAAAUGGUCUAAGGACAAGAUGAGCUUUAUAAAUUACAAAGUGAUACAAAUAUUUGUUACAUGCAAAGGGAGGAAUUAUGGUUGAAAUUGACAAAUUUGUUUAUGCUAUGUUUAUCUUUCUUUCUCUAUUUUUUAUAGCGACAAACUCCAACUGUAAAUUCUUUUUAACAUUUUAAAAUUUUCUUUUUUACUUCACCCUCGAUAUUUUGUUCGAUUUUAGUUAUACUCAUUUAUCCUUCUUUUUUUACUACAGCGAUUUAUAGAUGUUUUAUUGAUUUUGAUUGCCCAAGAGAAAUGUGCCCCGGACAUAUGGAACGUCCGGAGUGUAUGAAGACCAUUUGUAAAUGUAUUCAAUGGGUGAGGAAAACUCUAUCAUGAUUCUAUAUCAAGUGUAAAUACUUUCUUUAUGAAUGUUUGAAAAUAAAUACUUUUGCAAAGGUUGAUAAGUGUCUGUUUUAUUUCUUUUAAAGGAAUUCUAUAUUUACAUUUUUUCUUUAAUUCUUUGUGUAGUUUAAUUAGUUUUAUCAUGGAUUGUGAUUUAAUGGAAGUUAACUCCUUACAAUUUAUAUUUUAGGUACCAAAGAAGAAUUGAAAAAUUGAAGAUGUGUACUACUUCAUUGACAACAAUGGGAGAAUGAGAAUUUUAUUAAAUAAUGAACUCUUGUACUAAUAAAUCUAACAUUGUACAUUUUUUGAGUUUUAUUUACUUUUUAUUUUAACUCUAUUAAAAAUACAGAUAUGAAUUUUUCUUCCGUCAGGAUUUGAUGGCUUUUUGAAAACCAUACCAAAUUUGAUG
rnacentral:lncRNA from 1 species